rnacentral:rRNA from 1 species
GAGUUUGAUCGUGGCUCAGGAUGAACGCUGGCGGCAUGCCUAACACAUGCAAGUCGAACGGGGUUUAUAUGACAGAACUCUCCGGAGGGAAGAUAUAUAAACCUAGUGGCGGACGGGUGAGUAACGCGUGGCAACCUGCCCUGUACCGGGGGACAACAGCCAGAAAUGGCUGCUAAUACCGCAUAAGCCUGCUGUGCCGCAUGGCACAGCAGGGAAAACUACGGUGGUACAGGAUGGGCCCCGCGUCUGAUUAGUUAGUUGGCAGGGUAACGGCCUACCAAGACAACGAUCAGUAGCCGGCUUGAGAGAGUGGACGGCCACAUUGGGACUGAGACACGGCCCAGACUCCUGCGGGAGGCAGCAGUGGGGAAUAUUGCACAAUGGGGGAACCCUGAUGCAGCAAUGCCGCGUGGGUGAAGAAGCACUCCGGUGCGUAAAGCCCUGUCAGCAGGGAAGAAAAUGACAGUACCUGGACAAGAAGCCCCGGCUAACUACGUGCCAGCAG